CAACGUAGGGGGCGAGCGUUGUCCGGAAUGAUUGGGCGUAAAGGGCGCGUAGGCGGCGCGGUAAGUCUGGAGUGAAAGUCCUGCUCUCAAGGUGGGAAUUGCUUUGGAUACUGCCGCGCUUGAGUGCAGGAGAGGUUAUCGGAAUUCCCGGUGUAGCGGUGAAAUGCGUAGAGAUCGGGAGGAACACCAGUGGCGAAGGCGGGUAACUGGACUGCAACUGACGCUGAGGCGCGAAAGUGUGGGGAGCAAACAGGAUUAGAUACCCUGGUAGUCCACCCUGUAAACGAUGAAUGCUAGGUGUAAUAGGUAUCGACCCCUUUUGUGCCGGAGUCAACACAAUAAGCAUUCCGCCUGGGGAGUACGGCCGCAAGGUUGAAACUCAAAGGAAUUGACGGG
rnacentral:rRNA from 1 species